UUUCAAAUCUCCCACACGCUGACAAGAGCCAUGUGAACCAUUGUGCAGCACUGCACCCAUUUGACAGAUGAGAACAUGGAUACCCAACCGGAGCCUGGCAGGUCUUGGACAGCAGAGGUCACCCUGCAUCUGACACCAUUUCUUGUAAUCCAUGACUUCUCUCCUGCCUCCAUGAAUCUCCAGAUGACAGAUUCCUGCCCUCCUAAAAGGUGGGAACUGACAUCCUAGCAGGUUCCUGGGUGAUGCAGAUGCUGGCAGUCUGGGCACUGCCCUUUGGAAAGCUGCGACGACCACUGAAGCAGAACAGACUAAAGCAAAGAGGUGGGAAAGCCACGAGAAGAUACAGGACUGGCUGAGAUACAUCAGGAAGAGGAGCUGCGAUGGAUGGGACUUCAAAUGGAAGUUGGUGAUUAUAUCCGUCCCAGCACCUCCCACCUUGCAAGAGAGGCCUUAUAAAUCCUAUUCACAAGGGAGGGAAACAGAAGCUCAAGGAAGAGAGAGCCAUGGC
rnacentral:lncRNA from 1 species